UACGUAGGUGACAAGCGUUGUCCGGAUUUACUGGGCGUAAAGAGCGCGCAGGCGGUCGUUCAAGUCGAGUGUGAAAGCCCCCGGCUCAACUGGGGAGGGUCAUUCGAUACUGAUCGACUCGAAGGCAGGAGAGGGAAGUGGAAUUCCCGGUGUAGUGGUGAAAUGCGUAGAUAUCGGGAGGAACACCAGUGGCGAAGGCGACUUCCUGGCCUGUUCUUGACGCUGAGGCGCGAAAGCUAGGGGAGCAAAUGGG
rnacentral:rRNA from 1 species